rnacentral:rRNA from 1 species
UACAGAGGGUGCAAGCGUUAAUCGGAAUUACUGGGCGUAAAGCGUGCGUAGACGGUUAUUUAAGUCAGGUGUGAAAGCCCCGGGCUCAACCUGGGAAUUGCAUUUGAGACUGAAUAGCUAGGGUGCGGAAGAGGGAAGCGGAAUUUCCGGUGUAGCGGUGAAAUGCGUAGAUAUCGGGAGGAACACCAAUGGCGAAGGCAGCUCGCUGGGACGUUACUGACGCUGAGACGCGAAAGCGUGGGGAGCGAACAGG